rnacentral:lncRNA from 1 species
UUUUGAAUGCCCAAGCAUGAUUUUUCUUUUUUUUAUUAUAAAUGUUAUCAUUUUUAGAUUAGUAUGAUUUAAAUCAGUUGACAAGUCCUAUGGCUUUUCUGCCUGGUAUCAUCAAGAUAUAUUCACUAUACAAAAAAAUUGCUAUUGCUCACAUUUUUAAAAGAAUCAUAAAAAAAUUUGUUUUUCAGUAUGAUUAUAUGGAAUGAGAAAUGAUGGCUGUAACACAGAAAAUUAUCCAGAUUAUUGACCUUACUAACACUUUACAGGAAAGAUUCUAAAUAUGUGGGAGCAACGUUUCCUGGCACAAUAUGCAAUAAAAGCUAUGAUGCAG